UUUCCGGUGGGUCAGCAGAGCAGGGCAAUCGCGGGUGUAUCACUCACUGACGAGUCACCAGGAGGAGGCCAGUCAGACACGUUUUGUUCUGUUUGUUUGCCACAAGCCAUCGUGGUAACCAGUUGCUGUGGCAGAGACUCCCACUGCUAACCAAAAACUUGGCAUCACGCUUAUGACUAAUGCAAUGUAAAAAAAAAGUUUAUUUUCCAAUGUAAAGCAUCAUCUAACAGCAAACAUCAUCCCCUAAUGCAGCAGGAGGCCAAAUGCUCCUCCUGGUUUCCCCUUGGUGGAAGCUGAGCAAGCGGAGCGGAGGGCAAGGGCUCCCUGUCACCUACAGAGGUUUCAGCUCACAGAGCAAAUAGGUGUCGGCCCAGCAGUCAGUCCUGAUAGCACAUGUCCUCAUACGCUCCUACUGCCUGCACCCAAAAGGCAGAGUAAAUGGGAAUGGAGAUAAAUGUAUGUUUGUCAACUGUGUUUUGAACAGAUUGGGUGCAAACGUAACACAGAACACAUCUCUUUGCUUCCUUUGCACAAAAUGGGUUGGAAAAACAGCUCAGGAAAGUCUCUGGCUCCUCACUUAGAAACCGCAGCACGUUCAAUUCACAUGCCAUAAAAGAGACAGUCAGAGAAGUGAAAGGAAAAGCAAACUGUGCACAGGGCUCACACAAAGCCCUGAGAGCACAGCGUGCUGCACCUGUGAAUCAGGUGCUUCCUGCUGCAGCGCACCAUAUCCUGCACAGGGAGAUCGGGGAAAAGGAGACACAGGGGGAGGCAGCUUAGAGGGAUCAGGGCCAAAAUCCAGGGCAGGUCAUUGGCAGAAACAGGUCCUCGAAUGUAGCAGGAGGAGGUACAGAUAAGGCUGAGAUGGUAUGCAAGGUCAAAUAUGAACAAAAGAUACUUCUCUUGAAAAUGACUGCAGACAAUUUAUGAGAUUAGUAUUUCAUACUUGCAAAAACAGGCAGCUUUCUCUCAAGAAGGAAAAUUGAGCUGUCUAGGCUGGGAGUACUUGCUUCAGGUACGGAGGUGGAUUAAAAGCCCGAUGGUCAGUGUGGAAAAGCACCCAAACGCCAGCCUCAAAUACCCAGGGUCCACUGUGAUGCACUUACCUGCAGGGGACUCAGAGCUGGAGGCUCCCCUGUGCCAGACCUGCCUGGGCGACCACUCCUUCCAGCGAGGCAUCACACCGCAGGAGGCCGAGUCCUGCUCCUGGGAGAGCCAGCCAAGCAGCAAGGCGAAAGAGCCCCACAGCAGGGGAGAGCCGCUGCCCAGGUCCGAAACACGGCCCCUCUGGGGCAGCGACGACACAGGUAGGGGCUGGGCUGCACAUGGGGGCUGCGGGGGGUUGUUUUUCCACAGAUUCCUUCAGGGCUGUGGUGCUUUGUCCCAAGGCCAGGCUUCAUUGGAGGGUGUUUUUCAUGUUGAAAUGAGAUGUAGACUGUCACCCGCUGUGUGUUUGCUGGACAACAGCAACAACAACAACUUCUGCGUAGGAAGGCUGAAGCACACAAUGUGCUGCACAAGGGCUCCUGAGGAAUUAAGCUAUGGCAUAAUGAGGAGAAACAAAAGUAUUAUAGCAAAUCCCUUGGAUAAACCACCAGCCAUGCUUCGGCAUCGACCUGCUGUGUGGGCAGAGCUCUCAUGAGCUGGCAGGAAGAGCCCUGCAGGUGCAUGGAGACCAGGCGCUGUGUGUGAGGAGCUGCAUUGGUUUCACGAGAAGGAAGAUAGUACAGUGCAGACAGAAUAAUUGAGAAUGUGAGCUCACACACAUCCUUCUUACCCUGUUGCCUUUUUGGUUUGGGUCUUUGUU